rnacentral:rRNA from 1 species
UACGUAGGGCGCAAGCGUUGUCCGGAAUUAUUGGGCGUAAAGAGCUCGUAGGCGGUUUGUCGCGUCUGCUGUGAAAACCUAAGGCUCAACCUUGGGCUUGCAGUGGGUACGGGCAGACCAGAGUGCGGUAGGGGUGACUGGAAUUCCUGGUGUAGCGGUGGAAUGCGCAGAUAUCAGGAGGAACACCGAUGGCGAAGGCAGGUCACUGGGCCGCAACUGACGCUGAGGAGCGAAAGCAUGGGGAGCGAACAGG